CUGAUUGUCUCCAGGUAGCUCGUCUUCCUAUCCGCAGGCACCCCAGCAAUAAAUCUGCUGAUGAAGCGGGUGGCUAGAUCUCCAAAACUGCCAAUACUCCCGGCUCCAAGGUUAUUGAACCAUGCCCUUGCCGGACCUGAGAGCGUUGUUGGGAAUACCUUGCACAUCAAGGCAUCUGACAGGGUCUGCAGCUCCAUGAAAGUUUUGUAGUUGAGGACAUGCUCCCGGGGGUUUCCAGCUCCAUCAUAGGCUGCCAUUGGUGGCGUCAUAAACUUCUUAGGCACAAUCUCCUGCUGUACCCAUUUCGAGAAGGGUGAAGUAGUGGGUAGGAGAGUUUGGUUCUGAUCCUUCGCUCCCAGCUCAGCCAAGAGCUGCUCCCUCAACUUCUGCAGCUUUUGGUCUACGUUCUAAUCUUCUUGCUUGGGUUUCUUCCCCAGGCAGCAUUCCUCCUCCUCUGCUUCACUUCUCGUCCAUCUGGUAGUC
rnacentral:lncRNA from 1 species